AGAGUUUGAUCCUGGCUCAGGAUUAACGCUGGCGGUAUGCCUAACACAUGCAAGUCGAACGGAAUACUCGAAAAGAGAAUCUCACACUAGUGAGAGGUUCUCCAACCGAGUAUUUAGUGGCGGACGGGUGAGUAACACGUUGGAACCUGCCCCGAAGUGGGGAAUAACUGCUCGAAAGAGUAGCUAAUACCCCAUAGUAUCCGGUUUAUCCGGAUUAAAGAUUUAUCGCUUCGGGAGGGGCCUGCGUCUGAUUAGCUUGUUGGUAGGGUAAAAGCUCACCAAGGCGACGAUCAGUAGCUGGUUCGAGAGGAUGACCAGCCACACUGGGACUGAGAUACGGCCCAGACUCCUACGGGAGGCAGCAGUGAGGAAUCUUCCACAAUGGACGAAAGUCUGAUGGAGCAAUACCGCGUGCAGGACGACGCUUUUCGGAGUGUAAACUGCUUUUGUCGUCGAAGAUUAUGACUGUAGACGAAGAAUAAGGACCGGCUAACUACGUG
rnacentral:rRNA from 1 species